rnacentral:rRNA from 1 species
AUUGAACGCUGGCGGCAUGCCUUACACAUGCAAGUCGAACGGCAGCACGGGUGCUUGCACCUGGUGGCGAGUGGCGAACGGGUGAGUAAUACAUCGGAACAUGUCCUGUAGUGGGGGAUAGCCCGGCGAAAGCCGGAUUAAUACCGCAUACGAUCUACGGAUGAAAGCGGGGGACCUGCGGGCCUCGCGCUAUAGGGUUGGCCGAUGGCUGAUUAGCUAGUUGGUGGGGUAAAGGCCUACCAAGGCGACGAUCAGCAGCUGGUCUGAGAGGACGACCAGCCACACUGGGACUGAGACACGGCCCAGACUCCUACGGGAGGCAGCAGUGGGGAAUUUUGGACAAUGGGCGAAAGCCUGAUCCAGCAAUGCCGCGUGUGUGAAGAAGGCCUUCGGGUUGUAAAGCACUUUUGUCCGGAAAGAAAUCCUUGGCCCUAAUACGGUCGGGGGAUGACGGUACCGGAAGAAUAAGCACCGGCUAACUACGUG